rnacentral:snRNA from 1 species
AUCAUUUCUCGGGUUUGUGGCUGAGAUCAAGCAUAGUAUCUGUUCU